AUUGAACGCUGGCGGCAUGCUUUACACAUGCAAGUCGAACGGCAGCGCGGGCUUCGGCCUGGCGGCGAGUGGCGAACGGGUGAGUAAUACAUCGGAACGUGCACAGUAGUGGGGGAUAGCUCGGCGAAAGCCGGAUUAAUACCGCAUACGACCUGAGGGUGAAAGCGGGGGAUCUUCGGACCUCGCGCUAUUGGAGCGGCCGAUGGCAGAUUAGCUAGUUGGUGGGGUAAAGGCCUACCAAGGCGACGAUCUGUAGCUGGUCUGAGAGGACGACCAGCCACACUGAGACUGAGACACGGCCCAGACUCCUACGGGAGGCAGCAGUGGGGAAUUUUGGACAAUGGGCGAAAGCCUGAUCCAGCAAUGCCGCGUGUGUGAUGAAGGCUUUCGGGUUGUAAAGCACUUUUGGCGGGAACGAAAAGGACUGUGCCAAUACCACGGUUCGAUGACGGUACCCGCAGAAUAAGCACCGGCUAACUACGUG
rnacentral:rRNA from 1 species